UUUCAGGUGAUGAUACACUGACGAAAACAUAGUUAUGAAUAUUAUAUUCAGUGACACACUGGUGCUUUGAAGUAUGGAGACGAUUAUGUGACCGAUGCUUCUUGUUUCGCAGCCAUUUGUCGACGCGUAUCCAUUUGUAAAAAGCCUCAUUCUUUAACUGCAAAGUCUAGUUUGAUUCGAGUUUCAUCACCCAGGUGCACUUCACUGCAUCGAUUCAAUUUCACGACCAUAUGAGCUGCAGUCAAACUCCUGGACCACAUCACACUAAACGGGCUUCAUUUUAGGAGAAACUAAACAUUUACCUUCAUAGUAAACUAUUAAAUAUUCUCAGUGUGCAUUAGAUGUAGUUUUUCUGCUGUGUGUAGGUGAGGGGUUCCCCUCAACAGCAGGUCCUGCAAACUCUAACAAAUACUUCUAGUCGAUCUCGUCGUACUGUAUGUAGGUCACACGGCUUUUACCCCAAAUGGCUGAAACCGCAAUAGAAAGGAAGUUUGCUUCGACCUGAAAAAAGAACAACAACCUUCAGUUCUGUGAAAAUGUGUCUGUAUUUGGUUUUUGAAAGCCUCUGAGGUUUGUUUUUUUUAUCUCACCUAUCGCACACGUCAUGCUGCUUUGCCCACGUUGUGUUUCAUCCUCUUGCAAACUAAACUGAGCUCAAUUCAAACAUCCACGCUUCAUAAUUACAUUACCGCGUCUUUGGGGGAAUAUAUUGCGAAAUAAAAACGCAACGAUCCUGCAAAAUGAGCAACGUGUUCACACAUUCCUCAUUUUAAAGCUUCUCUCAGCUGCUAAUAUUUGCAUUUCUGCAGGACAGUCGGUCUAAUUAUGUGAAGUGUGUGCUGCUGGCUCUGAGUCCAGGCUUGUAGUCUUGGGGAAUUUAAACAGGCGAACAAAGGCAGACUUCAACCCCGAUUCACAUGCAAAUGAUGUUCCACGUCGUGAUUUAAAAGUACAGCAGCGAGUGAAGAUGAAGUGCUGUUGCUAUAAAAAAAAAGCAGCGAGACAGUAAAAGAAGAAGAAGAAGAAGGAGGAAGAAGAGAGCGCAGCUGAAGGGAAAAGAGCAAAGAGGGUCUGAAACACCACUGGGAACUGCUUUCAGAUGCAAAGGCCGUCCCACAGCUGAAUACUGUAGGAGAGCCGUUGUCAUGGAAACAGGGAGGCAAAGCCAGCUCUUCAUAGGGCUAUAUAAGACCAACCCCUCCUCCUCCUCAUCCUCCUCUUCCUCCUCCUCCUCCUCCUCCUCCUCCUCCUCCUCUACAGAUACCCGGCCAGGACAGGAAGCCAGACUGUAACCUGCAGGUCCGCUUCCUGUGGCCUCAGACAAAGACAGGACGGGCAGCGCAGGUACACAAGAGCUGCACAGUAUCCUCGAUCAUCGAUCAUCGAUCAUCGAAUCUCACGAUCAGAUCCUCGACGACGACAUCCCCCCAAUGAGGAGUGGUCAGUCCCGGGGAAGAUGUGUAACACUGAUGCUUAAAUGGAUGCUGCUGCUGCUGCUGAGUGGGAAUCUCUCCGCUUUCACUGAAGGAGGACAAGACGCUGCUGCUGCAUCUCUGAACAACGACGAUCCAUGAACGCACCACAAGUAGAAGGCGGAGGCGACACAGACGCUCUUGAACACACCCCAAUGUAUACUUUUAAUUAAAUAAAAUA